GAUGAACGCUGGCGGCGUGCCUAAUACAUGCAAGUCGAGCGAACAGACGAGAGUGCUUGCACUCUCUGACGUUAGCGGCGGACGGGUGAGUAACACGUGGGUAACCUACCUAUAAGACUGGGAUAACUUCGGGAAACCGGAGCUAAUACCGGAUAAUAUUUAGCUUCGCAUGAAGCAAUAGUGAAAGACGGUUCUGCUGUCACUUAUAGAUGGACCCGCGGUGUAUUAGCUAGUUGGUGAGGUAACGGCUCACCAAGGCAACGAUACAUAGCCGACCUGAGAGGGUGAUCGGCCACACUGGGACUGAGACACGGCCCAGACUCCUACGGGAGGCAGCAGUAGGGAAUCUUCCGCAAUGGACGAAAGUCUGACGGAGCAAUGCCGCGUGAGUGAAGAAGGUUUUCGGAUCGUAAAACUCUGUUGUAGGGGAAGAACAAGUACGUUAGUAACUGAACGUACCUUGACGGUACCUUACCAGAAAGCCACGGCUAACUACGUG
rnacentral:rRNA from 1 species